rnacentral:rRNA from 1 species
AGCGAACGCUGGCGGCAGGCUUAACACAUGCAAGUCGAACGCAUCACUUCGGUGGUGAGUGGCAGACGGGUGAGUAACACGUGGGAACGUACCCUUCGAUCUGGGAUAACUUCGGGAAACUGGAGCUAAUACCGGAUACGCCCUUUUGGGGAAAGGUUUACUGUCGAAGGAUCGGCCCGCGUCUGAUUAGCUAGUUGGUGGGGUAACGGCCUACCAAGGCGACGAUAAGUAGCUGGUCUGAGAGGAUGAUCAGCCACACUGGGACUGAGACACGGCCCAGACUCCUACGGGAGGCAGCAGUGGGGAAUAUUGGACAAUGGGCGCAAGCCUGAUCCAGCCAUGCCGCGUGAGUGAUGAAGGCCUUAGGGUUGUAAAGCUCUUUUGUCCGGGACGAUAAUGACGGUACCGGAAGAAUAAGCCCCGGCUAACUUCGUG